GAAAUGCGAUAAGUAAUGUGAAUUGCAGAAUUCAGUGAAUCAUCGAAUCUUUGAACGCACAUUGCGCCCCUUGGUAUUCCGAGGGGCAUGCCUGUUCGAGCGUCAUUACAACCCUCAAGCUCUGCUUGGUAUUGGGCGCCGUCCUCGCUGCGGACGCGCCUCAAAGACCUCGGCGGUGGCGUCUAGCCCUCAAGCGUAGUAGAAUACACCUCGCUUUGGAGCGGUUGGCGUCGCCCGCCGGACGAACCUUCUGAACUUUUCUCAAGGUUGACCUCGGAUCAGGUAGGGAUACCCGCUGAACUUAAGC
rnacentral:misc_RNA from 1 species